rnacentral:rRNA from 1 species
UACGGGGGGGGCAAGCGUUGUUCGGAAUUACUGGGCGUAAAGGGCUCGUAGGCGGCCAACUAAGUCAGACGUGAAAUCCCUCGGCUUAACCGGGAACUGCGUCUGAUACUGGAUGGCUAGAGGUUGGGAGAGGGAUGCGGAAUUCCGGGUGUAGUGGUGGAAUGCGUAGAGAUCCGGAGGAACACCAGCGGCGAAGGCGACUCUUUGGCCUGUAACUGACGCUGAGGCGCGAAAGUGUGGGAGCAAACAGG